UGUGACACUUCUGCUAUGGAAGAUCUGUAAAUGCGUGAAGUGAUUUGUACUUGUGCGGAGACUUGUCUGUGUGCCUCUGUGGUUAAACAGCUUCAUACCAUCAG